UCGAGCGGUAGCACAGAGAGCUUGCUCUCGGGUGACGAGCGGCGGACGGGUGAGUAAUGUCUGGGAAACUGCCUGAUGGAGGGGGAUAACUACUGGAAACGGUAGCUAAUACCGCAUAACGUCGCAAGACCAAAGUGGGGGACCUUCGGGCCUCAUGCCAUCAGAUGUGCCCAGAUGGGAUUAGCUAGUAGGUGGGGUAACGGCUCACCUAGGCGACGAUCCCUAGCUGGUCUGAGAGGAUGACCAGCCACACUGGAACUGAGACACGGUCCAGACUCCUACGGGAGGCAGCAGUGGGGAAUAUUGCACAAUGGGCGCAAGCCUGAUGCAGCCAUGCCGCGUGUGUGAAGAAGGCCUUCGGGUUGUAAAGCACUUUCAGCGGGGAGGAAGGCGGUAAGGUUAAUAACCUCAUCGAUUGACGUUACCCGCAGAAGAAGCACCGGCUAACUCCGUGCCAGCAGCCGCGGUAAUACGGAGGGUGCAAGCGUUAAUCGGAAUUACUGGGCGUAAAGCGCACGCAGGCGGUCUGUCAAGUCGGAUGUGAAAUCCCCGGGCUCAACCUGGGAACUGCAUUCGAAACUGGCAGGCUAGAGUCUUGUAGAGGGGGGUAGAAUUCCAGGUGUAGCGGUGAAAUGCGUAGAGAUCUGGAGGAAUACCGGUGGCGAAGGCGGCCCCCUGGACAAAGACUGACGCUCAGGUGCGAAAGCGUGGGGAGCAAACAGGAUUAGAUACCCUGGUAGUCCACGCCGUAAACGAUGUCGAUUUGGAGGUUGUGCCCUUGAGGCGUGGCUUCCGGAGCUAACGCGUUAAAUCGACCGCCUGGGGAGUACGGCCGCAAGGUUAAAACUCAAAUGAAUUGACGGGGGCCCGCACAAGCGAUGGAGCAUGUGGUUUAAUUCGAUGCAACGCGAAGAACCUUACCUGGUCUUGACAUCCACAGAACUUUCCAGAGAUGGAUUGGUGCCUUCGGGAACUGUGAGACAGGUGCUGCAUGGCUGUCGUCAGCUCGUGUUGUGAAAUGUUGGGUUAAGUCCCGCAACGAGCGCAACCCUUAUCCUUUGUUGCCAGCGGUCAGGCCGGGAACUCAAAGGAGACUGCCAGUGAUAAACUGGAGGAAGGUGGGGAUGACGUCAAGUCAUCAUGGCCCUUACGACCAGGGCUACACACGUGCUACAAUGGCAUAUACAAAGAGAAGCGACCUCGCGAGAGCAAGCGGACCUCAUAAAGUAUGUCGUAGUCCGGAUUGGAGUCUGCAACUCGACUCCAUGAAGUCGGAAUCGCUAGUAAUCGUAGAUCAGAAUGCUACGGUGAAUACGUUCCCGGGCCUUGUACACACCGCCCGUCACACCAUGGGAGUGGGUUGCAAAAGAAGUAGGUAGCUUAACCUUCGGGAGGGCGCUUACCACUUUGUGAUUCAUGACUGGGGUGAAGUCGUAACAAGGUAACCGUAGGGGAACCUGCGGUUGGAUCACCU
rnacentral:rRNA from 1 species